rnacentral:rRNA from 1 species
GAUGAACGCUGGCGGCGUGCCUAAUACAUGCAAGUCGAGCGAACAGAUGAGGAGCUUGCUCCUCUGAUGUUAGCGGCGGACGGGUGAGUAACACGUGGAUAACCUACCUAUAAGACUGGGAUAACUUCGGGAAACCGGAGCUAAUACCGGAUAAUAUAUUGAACCGCAUGGUUCAAUAGUGAAAGACGGUUUUGCUGUCACUUAUAGAUGGAUCCGCGCCGCAUUAGCUAGUUGGUAAGGUAACGGCUUACCAAGGCAACGAUGCGUAGCCGACCUGAGAGGGUGAUCGGCCACACUGGAACUGAGACACGGUCCAGACUCCUACGGGAGGCAGCAGUAGGGAAUCUUCCGCAAUGGGCGAAAGCCUGACGGAGCAACGCCGCGUGAGUGAUGAAGGUCUUCGGAUCGUAAAACUCUGUUAUUGGGGAAGAACAAAUGUGUAAGUAACUAUGCACGUCUUGACGGUACCUAAUCAGAAAGCCACGGCUAACUACGUG